CUUUUCCUCAGGCGAAACUGGUUCCUGUGCUUAUGGAAAGUUCAUGGGUGCAGUCCAAACACUUAAAAGACACACCAUAUCCCCUCAGCCAUCAAAUUAAGUGGACACUUCUGAUGGCUGCAGGGCAAGAGGCGAGAAAGGAAUGACUUUUAAAUGGACCGUCCUUACCCGGACAUUCGUAACUCGUUCAUCCCGCAGUGAUUUUGUUUUCAGCUACCGGUAUCUUGUGGGUGCUUUAUAUGCGCUACAGUCAAUUAUGAUUGCAUAUCUACUUACAUGACAUAUAUAAUUAUUAACAUACGCAUACUGUAUGAUAGCUAGUAAAUUAAUUAGCUAAAUAAUGUUAGAAUGCCUAGCUGGAACUUCUGAAGAAGGAAAAUGUUUUAUUUCUACAAUUUCCAAAAGAUAACCAAACAAAAACAUCAUUACUUUUACGAGACGUGUUUGUGACGUCCUGUGCAUUAGCAGCACAAUUUCUAACUUAUUUACAUUCGUUUUUACUUUACAUAUGUUGACUCCAUAUUGACGUUGAGGUUUUGAUUUUUGACGGACUUUUCUUAGUGGAUGUACAAUCGUCGCAAAUUGAAUUAUGGGGAGUUUCAGGCCCCGAAGUGAACAUAAUUGUACACUCGCAAAGUCUACUAAAAACGAGGGCUAGGGGGCUUACGUUGCAAACUUCCCUUGCUUGGCUAAUCAUUUGAACCGCCCGCCAAGAUGGUGACGGGGAUUCCCCGAAGGGCAUAAGGCGAGGGACCAUUCGCACAGUCCAGUCACUCAGCCCUAUCUAGAAGCUCUCAAGGUCCUUCAUUACUUCUUCAUACAACACCCUGAUGAGAAGCAAAACGCCUGGCACCAUAACUGCAAGAUUGCAUAUCUCUCUAACCCUGCUGUACCCUACCGUGCUAUGACAAUCUGACUCUAGAACAGUAUUACACAAUUUAAGUGCAAUGCUCAACAGUGAUUAUUGGUCUUGCUCGCUCUGCCAUCCUCACAGUUCACACUCAGAUGGUAGGCAGGCUGAUUGAUGGCACCUACAGGCCUGUUUGGGGGACAAUUGGACAGAACAUAUCAGACUGCUUGGACUUCAGCUGAAACCCUCCUCUCCUUCCCCAUCUUUCAAGGAAAGCCCCUUCUUUACACUUCGUGUUUGGAAUGUUGCUUUCAAUGGAUGUCACUUUCUCAUGUUGUGUGGUAUUACCUAUAGAUUACUCAUUACUUUUUACCUAUGUGUUAGAAUACUGUAUUUUUUAUUUUGUACCUUUUAUUUAACUAGGCAAGUCAGUUAAGAUUAAAUACAAUGACGGCUUACCAAAAGGCAAAAGGCCUCCUGCGGGGACGGGCUGGGAUUAAACAUUUAAACUAAAAUAAAAAUAUAGGACCAAACACAUGUCACGACAAGACAGACACCACAACACUACAUAAAGAGAGACCGAAGACAACAAUACAGCAUGGGAGCAGCGCAACAUGGUAACAACACAACAUGGUAACAACACAACAUGGUAGCAGCACAAAACAUGGUACAAACAUUGUUGGGCACAGACAACAGCACAAAGGGAAAUAAGGUAUAGACAACAAUACAUCACAUGCAGCAGCCACAACUGUCAGUAAGAGUGUCCAAGAGUCUCUGAAUGAAGAGAUGGAGAUAAAACUGUCCAGUUUGAGUGUUUGUUGCAGCUCGUUCCAGUCGCUAGCUGCAGCGAACUGAAAGGAGGAGCAACCCGGGGAUGUGUGUGCUAUGGGGACCUUUAACAGAAUGUGACUGGCAGAACGGGUGUUGUAUGUGGAGAAUGAGGCUGCAGUAGGUUUCUCAGAUAGGGGAGAGUAAGGCCUAAGAGGGUUUUAUAAAUAAGCAUCAACCAGUGGGUCUUACGAGGGGUAUACAGAGAUGACCAGUUUAGAGUAUAGAGUGCAGUGAUGUGUCCUAUAUUUUUUAUAUUUUUUAUUUCACCUUUAUUUAACCAGGUAGGCCAGUUGAGAACAAGUUCUCAUUUACAACUGCGACCUGGCCAAGAUAAAGCAAAGCAGUGCGACAAAAACAACAACACAGAGUUACACAUAAACAAACGUACAGUCAGUAACAUAAUAGAACAAUAAAUGAAAAAUCAAUGUACAGUUUGUGCAAUUGUAGAAGAGUAGGGAGGUAGGCAAUAAAGAGGCCAUGGAGGUGAAAUAAUUACAAUUUAGCAUUAACACUAGAAUGAUAGAUAUACGGAUGAUGAUAUGCAAGUAGAGAUACUGGGGUGCAAAAGAGCAAGAGGGUAAAUAAUAAUAUGGGGAUGAAGUAGUUGGGUGUGCUAUUUACAGAUUGGCUGUGUACAGGUACAGUAAUCGGUAAGCUGCUCUGACAGCUGAUGCUUAAAGUUAGAGAGGGAGAUAUAAUACUCCAGCUUCAGUGAUUUUUGCAAUUCGUUCCAGUCAUUGGCAGCAGAGAACUGGAAGGAAAGGCGGCCAAAGGAAGUGUUGGCUUUGGGGUUGACCAGUGAAAUAUACCUGCUGAAGCACGUGCUAUGGGUGGGUGUUGCUAUGGUGACCAGUGAGAUGUGAUAAGGCGGGGCUUUACCUAGCAAAGACUUAUAGAUGACCUGGAGCCAGUGGGUUUGGCAAAGGAGCGUUGGUGGCAAAUCUGAUGGCAAAAUGGUAAAGAACAUCUAGCCGCUCGAGAGCACCCUUAUCUGCCGAUCUAUAAAUUAUGUCUCUGUAAUCUUGCAAGGGUAGGAUGGUCAUCUGAAUUAGGGUUAGUUUGGCAGCUGGGGUGAAAGAGGAGCGAUUACGAUAGAGAAAACCAAGUCUAGAUUUAACCUUAGCCUGCAGCUUUGAUAUGUGCUGAGAGAAGGGCAGUGUACCGUCUAGCCAUUCUCCCAAGUACUUGUAUGAGGUGACUGCCUCAAGCUCUAAACCCUCAGAGGUAGGAAUCACACCUGUGGGGAGAGGAGCAUUCUUCUUACCAAACCACAUGACUUUUGUUUUGGAGAUUUUCCGAACGAGGUUAAGGGCAGAGAAUGCUUGUUGGACACUUAGAAAGCUUUGUUGUCGAUCGUUUAACACAAAAUCCGGGGAGGGGCCAGCUGAGUAUAAGACUGUAUCAUCUGCAUAUAAAUGGAUGAGAGAGCUUCCUACUGCCUGAGCAAUGUUGUGUCCCUUUCAAAUACUUGAAAUGACCCCCUCUGCCACAUGCUCUCUCUUUCUCUCCAGGAUACUUUAGGGGAAGUUGUUUGCUGUUGGUACCAAUCCCACACUGGCAGGCUGUCGGACCACAUCAAUGAAUUUACCCCCCCCAUCCUAAACUUUUUGCAGCCUCUUGUUCAACUGCUCUUUGAUUAAAUUGGUUUAACUAAAUGUUUAUAUUCGCUUCAAGUCUGGUAUUAUUUGUAGUAAAUCUCGCUUAUUUGUGCCUCUGGUCUGGAAACUCAGUCAUAUUUUUAGGCCUAUUUUCAACUUCAGUAUCCAAAAUGUUCAGGCUGCUUAUCACGUUCUGACCUUUAUUUCCUUUGUUUUGUCAUUAUUUAGUAUGGUCAGGGCGUGAGUUGGGGUGUGCAGUCUAUGUUUGUUUUUCUAUGAUUUGGGGAUUUCUAUGUUUCGGCCUAGUAUGGUUCUCAAUCAGAGGCAGGUGUCAUUAGUUGUCUCUGAUUGAGAAUCAUACUUAGGUAGCCUGGGUUUCACUGUUUGUUUGUAGGUGUUUGUUUCCAUGUCUGUGUUUUUUCACCACACGGUACUGUUUUGGGUUUCGUUCGUUCCACGUUUAUUAUUUUUGUAUUCAGUUGUGUUCAUGUUAAGUAUUUCUUAUCUUAUUAAAAGAACCAUGGACACUUA